rnacentral:rRNA from 2 species
UGGCGCACGGGUGCGUAACGCGUAUGCAACCUACCUCAAUCAGGGGGAUAGCCCGAAGAAAUUCGGAUUAACACCGCAUAAAAACACAGUACAGCAUUGUACAAUGUUCAAAUAUUUAUAGGAUUGAGAUGGGCAUGCGUGUCAUUAGCUAGUUGGCGGGGUAACGGCCCACCAAGGCGACGAUGACUAGGGGAUCUGAGAGGAUGACCCCCCACACUGGUACUGAGACACGGACCAGACUCCUACGGGAGGCAGCAGUAAGGAAUAUUGGUCAAUGGAGGGAACUCUGAACCAGCCAUGCCGCGUGCAGGAAGACAGCCCUCUGGGUCGUAAACUGCUUUUAUUCGGGAAUAAACCUACUUACGUGUAAGUAGCUGAAUGUACCGAAGGAAUAAGGAUCGGCUAACUCCGUGCCAGCAGCCGCGGUAAUACGGAGGAUCC